GGAUGAACGCUAGCGGCAGGCCUAAUACAUGCAAGUCGGACGGGAUUCGGGAGCUUGCUUCCGAUGAGAGUGGCGCACGGGUGCGUAACACGUAUGUAACCUACCCUUAUCAGGGGGAUAGCCUCUCGAAAGAGAGAUUAAGCCCGCAUAAAAUGAAGAUACAGCAUUGUAAUUUCAUCAAAUAUUUAUAGGAUAAGGAUGGGCAUGCGGAACAUUAGCUAGUUGGUAAGGUAAUGGCUUACCAAGGCUACGAUGUUUAGGGGAUCUGAGAGGAUGACCCCCCACACUGGUACUGAGACACGGACCAGACUCCUACGGGAGGCAGCAGUAAGGAAUAUUGGUCAAUGGGCGGAAGCCUGAACCAGCCAUGCCGCGUGCAAGAAGACGGCCCUACGGGUUGUAAACUGCUUUUGCAGGGGAAUAAACCUCAUUACGUGUAAUGAGCUGAAUGUACUCUGAGAAUAAGGAUCGGCUAACUCCGUGCCAGCAGCCGCGGUAAUACGGAGGAUCCAAGCGUUAUCCGGAUUUAUUGGGUUUAAAGGGUGCGUAGGUGGCCUGUUAAGUCAGGGGUGAAAGACGGUAGCUUAACUAUCGCAGUGCCCUUGAUACUGAUGGGCUUGAAUGAACUAGAGGUAGGCGGAAUGUGACAAGUAGCGGUGAAAUGCAUAGAUAUGUCACAGAACACCAAUUGCGAAGGCAGCUUACUAUGGUUUUAUUGACACUGAGGCACGAAAGCGUGGGGAUCAAACAGGAUUAGAUACCCUGGUAGUCCACGCCCUAAACGAUGAAUACUCGAUGUUGGCGAUAUACAGUCAGCGUCAAAGCGAAAGCGUUAAGUAUUCCACCUGGGGAGUACGCCCGCAAGGGUGA
rnacentral:rRNA from 1 species